CUAACUGCGUGCCAGAAGCGUCGGUAAGACGUGGGCCCCGAGCGUUAUCCGGUGUUACUGGGCGUAAAGAGUCGUGUAGGCGGUUCGAAAAGUUACCUUUUAAAUCCCAAUGCUCAACAUUGGAACUGAAGGUAAUACUCUCGAACUAGAGUUUUCUACAGGGUGAAUGGAACUGUGGGAGGAGUAGUGAAAUGCGUUGAUCCCCGCGGGAACACCAGUGGCGAAGGCGGUUCACUGGUAGAAGACUGACGCUGAGACACGAAAGCUAGGGUAUCGAAGCAGAUUAGAGACCUGCGUAGUCCUAGCCGUAAACGCAUGCUUGCUAGCUGCAUUUCCGCCCCUUCGGGGGUUAGGUGUGGCGAAGGUAACCCGUUAAGCAAGCCGCCUGGGGAUUACGGUCGCAAGACUAAAACUCAAAGGAAUUGGCGGGGAGGCACACAACCAGUGGAACAUGUGGUUUAAUUCGAAACAAACCGAAGAACCUCACCUGGGUUUGACAUGUAGCUGCUCAUCCUAUGAAAAUAGGACUCCUUCGAGGGUGCUACACAGGUGCUGCAUGGCUGUCGUCAGUUCGUUCCGUGAGGAGUGCCCUUAAGUGGGACAACGAACGCAACCCCCAUCGUAUGUUAUAUCUGUCAUACGAAACUGCCUUGCCGUUGGCGAGGAGGAAGGAGGGGCAGACGUCAAGUCUGCAUGGUCCUUAUGCCCAGGGCUACACACAUGUUACAAUGAGAAGGAACAAUGAGCAUUGCGAACUCGCGAGGGUAAGCAAAUCUCAGAAAUCUUCUCUCAGUGGGGAUUGGAGUCUGCAAUUCGACUCCAUGAACGCGGAAUUGGUAGUAAUCGCGGGUCAGCUAUACCGCGGUGAUACGUUCUUGCCUCUUGCA
rnacentral:rRNA from 1 species